GACGCGCGCAGCCCCGUGGAGGUCCUUUCCUCUCCUCCCACAGUCCACAGAGUGCUAGCGCUGGUGUGAGGAGGCUGCGAUGCUCUUUUGCUGUCAGCAGCCUCCGCUCCCCAUCCUCGGCAGCGCCCACGAGAGAGAUGCAAGCUGGAGAAUCAGUCAAUCAGUUGCCCUGCAGAAGUGUUGCGGCAAGACCUGCGGACCCCCUCAGCGCCAUCGCCGGAAGUGGGUGCCAUCGCCGGAAUCGAGCGCUGCGGCCACCUCGAGAGGGCUCCGUGCGGUAUCGAGCGCCAUGGCCAUCUCUAGCGGGCACCACGUGCCGCCAAGAGUAGGUGCUGCCGCAGUGCCGCUCCCGCUACCCAGCCAUGGCCAUGGGGAGUUCUAGAUCCUGUUUUUUUUUCCGGUCACGAAGGAGUCAGCUCAGCUGUUCCAGGCGAGGGUAAUUUAGUCAAUUUCAGAAGUUUUCCAUUAAACUGAAUAUAAUACUAAAUCGAGUGUCCAGCGGCAAAUAACCAUAAAUUUAUAGUGUCUUCCAGCAAAACCAAAUAUUUUUAGUGGCUUACGGCAAAAGUCACCUUUGAGCAGUGUCUGGUAGCAAAUUUUCCC